GGGUUGUGAGGUUAAGCGACUAAGCGUACACGGUGGAUGCCCUGGCAGUCAGAGGCGAUGAAGGACGUGCUAAUCUGCGAUAAGCGCCGGUAAGGUGAUAUGAACCGUUAUAACCGGCGAUUUCCGAAUGGGGAAACCCAGUGUGAUUCGUCACACUAUCAUUAACUGAAUCCAUAGGUUAAUGAGGCGAACCGGGGGAACUGAAACAUCUAAGUACCCCGAGGAAAAGAAAUCAACCGAGAUUCCCCAGUAGCGGCGAGCGAACGGGGAGGAGCCCAGAGCCUGAAUCAGCAUGUGUGUUAGUGGAAGCGUCUGGAAAGGCGCGCGAUACAGGGUGACAGCCCCGUACACAAAAGCGCAUGUGCUGUGAGCUCGAUGAGUAGGGCGGGACACGUGGUAUCCUGUCUGAAUAUGGGGGGACCAUCCUCCAAGGCUAAAUACUCCUGACUGACCGAUAGUGAACCAGUACCGUGAGGGAAAGGCGAAAAGAACCCCGGCGAGGGGAGUGAAAAAGAACCUGAAACCGUGUACGUACAAGCAGUGGGAGCACAGGUUUACCUGUGUGACUGCGUACCUUUUGUAUAAUGGGUCAGCGACUUAUAUUCUGUAGCAAGGUUAACCGAAUAGGGGAGCCGGAGGGAAACCGAGUCUUAAUUGGGCGUUAAGUUGCAGGGUAUAGACCCGAAACCCGGUGAUCUAGCCAUGGGCAGGUUGAAGGUUGGGUAACACUAACUGGAGGACCGAACCGACUAAUGUUGAAAAAUUAGCGGAUGACCUGUGGCUGGGGGUGAAAGGCCAAUCAAACCGGGAGAUAGCUGGUUCUCCCCGAAAGCUAUUUAGGUAGCGCCUCGUGAACUCAUCUCCGGGGGUAGAGCACUGUUUCGGCUAGGGGGCCAUCCCGGCUUACCAACCCGAUGCAAACUGCGAAUACCGGAGAAUGUUAUCACGGGAGACACACGGCGGGUGCUAACGUCCGUCGUGAAGAGGGAAACAACCCAGACCGCCAGCUAAGGUCCCAAAGUCAUGGUUAAGUGGGAAACGAUGUGGGAAGGCCCAGACAGCCAGGAUGUUGGCUUAGAAGCAGCCAUCAUUUAAAGAAAGCGUAAUAGCUCACUGGUCGAGUCGGCCUGCGCGGAAGAUGUAACGGGGCUAAACCAUGCACCGAAGCUGCGGCAGCGACACUGUGUGUUGUUGGGUAGGGGAGCGUUCUGUAAGCCUGUGAAGGUGGCCUGUGAGGGUUGCUGGAGGUAUCAGAAGUGCGAAUGCUGACAUAAGUAACGAUAAAGCGGGUGAAAAGCCCGCUCGCCGGAAGACCAAGGGUUCCUGUCCAACGUUAAUCGGGGCAGGGUGAGUCGACCCCUAAGGCGAGGCCGAAAGGCGUAGUCGAUGGGAAACAGGUUAAUAUUCCUGUACUUGGUGUUACUGCGAAGGGGGGACGGAGAAGGCUAUGUUGGCCGGGCGACGGUUGUCCCGGUUUAAGCGUGUAGGCUGGUUUUCCAGGCAAAUCCGGAAAAUCAAGGCUGAGGCGUGAUGACGAGGCACUACGGUGCUGAAGCAACAAAUGCCCUGCUUCCAGGAAAAGCCUCUAAGCAUCAGGUAACAUCAAAUCGUACCCCAAACCGACACAGGUGGUCAGGUAGAGAAUACCAAGGCGCUUGAGAGAACUCGGGUGAAGGAACUAGGCAAAAUGGUGCCGUAACUUCGGGAGAAGGCACGCUGACACGUAGGUGAAGUGAUUUACUCAUGGAGCUGAAGUCAGUCGAAGAUACCAGCUGGCUGCAACUGUUUAUUAAAAACACAGCACUGUGCAAACACGAAAGUGGACGUAUACGGUGUGACGCCUGCCCGGUGCCGGAAGGUUAAUUGAUGGGGUCAGCGCAAGCGAAGCUCCUGAUCGAAGCCCCGGUAAACGGCGGCCGUAACUAUAACGGUCCUAAGGUAGCGAAAUUCCUUGUCGGGUAAGUUCCGACCUGCACGAAUGGCGUAAUGAUGGCCAGGCUGUCUCCACCCGAGACUCAGUGAAAUUGAACUCGCUGUGAAGAUGCAGUGUACCCGCGGCAAGACGGAAAGACCCCGUGAACCUUUACUAUAGCUUGACACUGAACAUUGAGCCUUGAUGUGUAGGAUAGGUGGGAGGCUUUGAAGCGUGGACGCCAGUCUGCGUGGAGCCGACCUUGAAAUACCACCCUUUAAUGUUUGAUGUUCUAACGUGGACCCGUAAUCCGGGUUGCGGACAGUGUCUGGUGGGUAGUUUGACUGGGGCGGUCUCCUCCUAAAGAGUAACGGAGGAGCACGAAGGUUGGCUAAUCCUGGUCGGACAUCAGGAGGUUAGUGCAAUGGCAUAAGCCAGCUUGACUGCGAGCGUGACGGCGCGAGCAGGUGCGAAAGCAGGUCAUAGUGAUCCGGUGGUUCUGAAUGGAAGGGCCAUCGCUCAACGGAUAAAAGGUACUCCGGGGAUAACAGGCUGAUACCGCCCAAGAGUUCAUAUCGACGGCGGUGUUUGGCACCUCGAUGUCGGCUCAUCACAUCCUGGGGCUGAAGUAGGUCCCAAGGGUAUGGCUGUUCGCCAUUUAAAGUGGUACGCGAGCUGGGUUUAGAACGUCGUGAGACAGUUCGGUCCCUAUCUGCCGUGGGCGCUGGAGAACUGAGGGGGGCUGCUCCUAGUACGAGAGGACCGGAGUGGACGCAUCACUGGUGUUCGGGUUGUCAUGCCAAUGGCACUGCCCGGUAGCUAAAUGCGGAAGAGAUAAGUGCUGAAAGCAUCUAAGCACGAAACUUGCCCCGAGAUGAGUUCUCCCUGAGACUUAGAGUCUCCUGAAGGAACGUUGAAGACGACGACGUUGAUAGGCCGGGUGUGUAAGCGCAGCGAUGCGUUGAGCUAACCGGUACUAAUGAACCGUGAGGCUUAACCUUACAACGCCGAAG
rnacentral:rRNA from 1 species